rfam:Gasterosteus aculeatus cont1.008657, whole genome shotgun sequence.
UAAAAGGCUCUUUUAAGAGCCACCCACUCUUUCCUCAAAGAGCUUU